CAGUCGCCGCGGGAACACGAAGGGUGCAAGCGUUACUCGGAAUUACUGGGCGUAAAGCGUGCGUAGGUGGUGGUUUAAGUCCGUUGUGAAAGCCCUGGGCUCAACCUGGGAAUUGCAGUGGAUACUGGAUCACUAGAGUGUGGUAGAGGAUAGUGGAAUUUCCGGUGUAGCAGUGAAAUGCGUAGAGAUCGGAAGGAACAUCUGUGGCGAAGGCGACUAUCUGGGCCAACACUGACACUGAGGCACGAAAGCGUGGGGAGCAAACAGGAUUAGAUACCCCGGUAGUCCCUGUCUCUUAUAC
rnacentral:rRNA from 1 species